UACGUAGGGACCAAGCGUUGUCCGGAAUCAUUGGGCGUAAAGAGCGUGUAGGCGGCUUGUUAAGUCUUGCGUGAAAUCUCGGGGCUCAACCCCGAGCGGUCGUGAGAAACUGGCAGGCUAGAGUGCGGGAGAGGAGAGUGGAAUUCCUGGUGUAGCGGUGAAAUGCGCAGAUAUCAGGAAGAACACCCGUGGCGAAGGCGGCUCUCUGGAACGCAACUGACGCUGAGACGCGACAGCGUGGGGAGCAAACAGG
rnacentral:rRNA from 1 species